AUGGGGAGCUGGGUCCUCUGCUAUGUGACCCUGUGUCUCCUGGGAGCAGGAUGCUGACAUCUAUCAGAUGCCAUUCCAGCUCACUGGGGCUGGAUGGGAUGUGACUCUGGAGUGGAAACGGAAUUUGAGACACAAUGACAUGUACUGCUACUGGUACUGGCAGGACCCAAAGCAAAAUCUGAGACUGAUCUAUUACUCAAGGGUUGAAAAGGAUAUUCAGAGAGGAGAUCUAACUGAAGGCUACGUGUCUGCCAAGAGGAGAAGGGGCUAUUUCUUCUCAGGGUGAAGUUGGCCCACACCAGCCAAACAGCUUUGUACUUCUGUCCUGGGAGCGCAC
rnacentral:lncRNA from 1 species